UUUGCACACAAAACCCAAAGAUCAUCAUUUACACCAAUAAUAUGAUCUUGUCUGGUGUGCAGAAAUCAAGUGUGCCUUGUCGCCUUUCAGACCGCUGACGUGGGUCUAAAAGUGAAAUCAAGGUUCUACAUCG